rnacentral:rRNA from 1 species
AUUGAACGCUGGCGGCAUGAUUUACACAUGCAAGUCGAACGGUAACAGGCCGCAAGGUGCUGACGAGUGGCGAACGGGUGAGUAAUGCAUCGGAACGUGCCCAGUCGUGGGGGAUAACUACUCGAAAGAGUAGCUAAUACCGCAUACGAUCUAUGGAUGAAAGCGGGGGACCGUAAGGCCUCGCGCGAUUGGAGCGGCCGAUGUCAGAUUAGGUAGUUGGUGGGGUAAAGGCUCACCAAGCCAACGAUCUGUAGCUGGUCUGAGAGGACGACCAGCCACACUGGGACUGAGACACGGCCCAGACUCCUACGGGAGGCAGCAGUGGGGAAUUUUGGACGAUGGGCGCAAGCCUGAUCCAGCAAUGCCGCGUGCAGGAAGAAGGCCUUCGGGUUGUAAACUGCUUUUGUACGGAACGAAACGGCUCUGGUUAAUACCCGGGGCUAAUGACGGUACCGUAAGAAUAAGCACCGGCUAACUACGUG